GUGAGGUAGAGGUAGGAAGGUAUGUGUGAGGUAGAGGUAGGAAGGUAUGUGUGAGGUAGAGGUAGGAAGGUAUGUGUGAGGUAGAGGUAGGAAGGUAUGUGUGAGGUAGAGGUAGGAAGGUAUGUGUGAGGUAGAGGUCGGUUGGUCUGUGUGAGGUAGAGGUAGGAAGGUAUGUGUGAGGUAGAAGUCGGUAGAUCUGUGUGAGGUAGAGGUAGGAAGGUGUGUGUGAGGUAGAGGUAGGAAUGUAUGUGUGGGGUAGAGGUAGGAAGGUAUGUGUGAGGUAGAGGUAGGAAGGUAUGUGUGAGGUAGAGGUAGGAAGGUAUGUGUGAGGUAGAGGUAGGAAGGUGUGUGUGAGGUAGAGGUAGGAAGGUAUGUGUGAGGUAGAGGUAGGAAGGUAUGUGUGAGGUAGAGGUAGGAAGGUAUGUGUGAGGUAGAGGUAGGAAGGUAUGUGUGAGGUAGAGGUAGGAAGGUGUGUGUGAGGUAGAGGUAGGAAGGUAUGUGUGAGGUAGAGGUAGGAAGGUAUGUGUGAGGUAGAGGUAGGAAGGUGUGUGUGAGGUAGAGGUAGGAAGGUAUGUGUGAGGUAGAGGUAGGAAGGUAUGUGUGAGGUAGAGGUAGGAAGGUAUGUGUGAGGUAGAGGUAGGAAGGUAUGUGUGAGGUAGAGGUAGGAAGGUAUGUGUGAGGUAGAGGUAGGAAGGUGUGUGUGUGUGGGGUAGAGGUAGGAAGGUAUGAUGAUUUUUCCUUCUCAAAAGAGGGAUGAUUUUCUUGUCUCUCUCUCGUCUUUCCAAUGAGAACUGGAGGUCUUUCCAAUGAGAACUGGGGGUCUUUCCAAUGAGAACUGGAGGUCUUUACAAUGAGAACUGGAGGUCUUUCCAAUGAGAACUGGAGGUCUUUACAA